rnacentral:rRNA from 1 species
ACAAGCGGUGAGUGCUUUGGGGUGGGGUGACUGCGUACCUUUUGUAUAAUGGGUCAGCGACUUAUAUUCUGUAGCAAGGUUAACCGAAUAGGGGAGCCGGAGGGAAACCGAGUCUUAAUUGGGCGUUAAGUUGCAGGGUAUAGACCCGAAACCCGGUGAUCUAGCCAUGGGCAGGUUGAAGGUUGGGUAACACUAACUGGAGGACCGAACCGACUAAUGUUGAAAAAUUAGCGGAUGACCUGUGGCUGGGGGUGAAAGGCCAAUCAAACCGGGAGAUAGCUGGUUCUCCCCGAAAGCUAUUUAGGUAGCGCCUCGUGAAUUCAUCUCCGGGGGUAGAGCACUGUUUCGGCUAGGGGGCCAUCCCGGCUUACCAACCCGAUGCAAACUGCGAAUACCGGAGAAUGUUAUCACGGGAGACACACGGCGGGUGCUAACGUCCGUCGUGAAGAGGGAAACAACCCAGACCGCCAGCUAAGGUCCCAAAGUCAUGGUUAAGUGGGAAACGAUGUGGGAAGGCCCAGACAGCCAGGAUGUUGGCUUAGAAGCAGCCAUCAUUUAAAGAAAGCGUAAUAGCUCACUGGUCGAGUCGGCCUGCGCGGAAGAUGUAACGGGGCUAAACCAUGCACCGAAGCUGCGGCAGCGAACGUAUCACUUAAAGCGAUUCAGCGGGUUACGAUUGACGGAGCGAAGCGACGUCAAAGCGUAUACAAAGUCGAGUCGGUUUAAGGAUACGUUCGUUGGGUAGGGGAGCGUUCUGUAAGCCUGUGAAGGUGUGUCGUGAGGCAUGCUGGAGGUAUCAGAAGUGCGAAUGCUGACAUAAGUAACGAUAAAGCGGGUGAAAAGCCCGCUCGCCGGAAGACCAAGGGUUCCUGUCCAACGUUAAUCGGGGCAGGGUGAGUCGACCCCUAAGGCGAGGCCGAAAGGCGUAGUCGAUGGGAAACGGGUUAAUAUUCCCGUACUUGGUGUUACUGCGAAGGGGGGACGGAGAAGGCUAUGUUGGCCGGGCGACGGUUGUCCCGGUUUAAGCGUGUAGGUGUGUGUUCCAGGUAAAUCCGGUUCACUUUAACACUGAGGCGUGAUGACGAGGCACUACGGUGCUGAAGCAACAAAUGCCCUGCUUCCAGGAAAAGCCUCUAAGCAUCAGGUAACAUCAAAUCGUACCCCAAACCGACACAGGUGGUCAGGUAGAGAAUACCAAGGCGCUUGAGAGAACUCGGGUGAAGGAACUAGGCAAAAUGGUGCCGUAACU